rnacentral:rRNA from 1 species
UACGUAGGGUGCAAGCGUUGUCCGGAAUUAUUGGGCGUAAAGAGCUCGUAGGCGGUUCGUCGCGUCGGCUGUGAAAACCUGAGGCUCAACCUCAGGCCUGCAGUCGAUACGGGCGGACUUGAGUACUGCAGGGGAGACUGGAAUUCCUGGUGUAGCGGUGAAAUGCGCAGAUAUCAGGAGGAACACCGGUGGCGAAGGCGGGUCUCUGGGCAGUAACUGACGCUGAGACACGAAAGCGUGGGUAGCAAACAGG